CUCCCCAAACAACACCAACCCAUUUGGUUCCACAUUCUGCUUUGGUCUUCAGCGAAUGAUCUUUGAGGUCAUGCAGAACAACCACAUUGCCUCGGUGACCCUGUAUGGCCCCCCCAGAUAUUCUUCUGUCCAUCUUUGGCCUGCUGGUGCCAGCAGGGGACACAGACUGCAAAGAGAAGCACAAAGUUUGAGCCUUGAUUCCUGGACCCAGGAGCUCUCAACUAACAAGGAGGCAGGAGAGGUCAACCCUUGUCCCAUGCACAUUGGGAAGACUUGGGGCUCUUUCUGUGACUGAGGACACAGGCACCCAGGAUAAGGACAAGGUCCUGCCUUUGGCUCCACAUUGCCACAUGACCCUUAAGGCAAGCAGGUAGCGUGUCCAUAGUACUUGGUUGCGACAUUUGCACUACAUCCACUUUAGUUACUUGAUGAGCUGGCUGUGGCCAGGGUGGCCCACCUGCCCUUCCCUGUUCCUUUCUUGCACGCGCUCCCUGCCUGGGCACACCAAACUGGUUGAAA
rnacentral:lncRNA from 1 species